CAGCAGCCGCGGGAAAACGUAGGGUGCGAGCGUUAAUCGGAAUUACUGGGCGUAAAGUGUGCGCAGGCGGUUCGUUAAGACAGAUGUGAAAUCCCCGGGCUUAACCUGGGAACUGCAUUUGUGACUGGCGAGCUAGAGUAUGGCAGAGGGGGGUAGAAUUCCACGUGUAGCAGUGAAAUGCGUAGAGAUGUGGAGGAAUACCGAUGGCGAAGGCAGCCCCCUGGGCCAAUACUGACGCUCAUGCACGAAAGCGUGGGGAGCAAACAGGAUUAGAGACCCCUGUAGUCCCUGUCUCUUAUAA
rnacentral:rRNA from 1 species